rnacentral:rRNA from 1 species
CUCCGUAGGUGAACCUGCGGAGGGAUCAUUACACAAAUAUGAAGGCGGGCUGGAACCUCUCGGGGUUACAGCCUUGCUGAAUUAUUCACCCUUGUCUUUUGCGUACUUCUUGUUUCCUUGGUGGGUUCGCCCACCACUAGGACAAACAUAAACCUUUUGUAAUUGCAAUCAGCGUCAGUAACAAAUUAAUAAUUACAACUUUCAACAACGGAUCUCUAGGUUCUGGCAUCGAUGAAGAACGCAGCGAAAUGCGAUAAGUAGUGUGAAUUGCAGAAUUCAGUGAAUCAUCGAAUCUUUGAACGCACAUUGCGCCCUUUGGUAUUCCAAAGGGCAUGCCUGUUCGAGCGUCAUUUGUACCCUCAAGCUUUGCUUGGUGUUGGGCGUCUUGUCUCUAGCUUUGCUGGAGACUCGCCUUAAAGUAAUUGGCAGCCGGCCUACUGGUUUCGGAGCGCAGCACAAGUCGCACUCUCUAUCAGCAAAGGUCUAGCAUCCAUUAAGCCUUUUUUUCAACUUUUGACCUCGGAUCAGGUAGGGAUACCCGCUGAACUUAAGCAUAUCA